rnacentral:rRNA from 1 species
AGAACCUUACCUGGGUUUGACAUAUGCCGGAAAGCGCCAGAGAUGGUGCCCCUUUUUGUCGGUAUACAGGUGGUGCAUGGCUGUCGUCAGCUCGUGUCGUGAGAUGUUGGGUUAAGUCCCGCAACGAGCGCAACCCUCGUCCUAUGUUGCCAGCACGUUAUGGUGGGGACUCAUAGGAGACUGCCGGGGUCAACUCGGAGGAAGGUGGGGAUGACGUCAAGUCAUCAUGCCCCUUAUGUCCAGGGCUCCAAGCAUGCUACAAUGGCCGGUACAAUGGGCUGCGAUACCGCGAGGUGGAGCGAAUCCCGCUAAAGCCGGUCUCAGUUCGGAUUGGGGUCUGCAACUCGACCCCAUGAAGUCGGAGUCGCUAGUAAUCGCAGAUCAGCAACGCUGCGGUGAAUACGUUCCCGGGCCUUGUACACACCGCCCGUCACGUCAUGAAAGUCGGCAACACCCGAAGCCGGUGGCCUAACCCUUGUGGAGGGAGCCGUCGA